AUGGCGGCGCUGCCUCUUCUCCGGUGGGGCGCCUCCUCCCUCCACGCCCACUUCUCCCCUACCCCGCCGCGACGCCUCUUCUCCGCUCUCCGACAGCCCCCUGCCGCCGGCCGCUACGAGCCAGGCUCCAGGGUCAUGCUUAAGGGGAUGGACUACCCAGAGCUCGAGAAAUGGGUGCAGUCGCAAGGAUUCCGACCGGGACAGGCCAUGAUGCUGUGGAAAUGCCUCUACGGGAACAACGUCUGGGCGCAUUGCCACGACGAGCUGGCUGGCUUGAACAAGGACUUGAGGAAAAUGAUAAGUGAUCAUGCUGAUCUGAAGGCAUUAACUAUUAAAGACAUUAUUACUGCAUCAGAUGGAACCCGAAAGAUACUGUUCUCUCUUGAAGAUGCCUCAGUGAUUGAAACAGUUGUCAUUCCUAGCGCCAGGGGCCGGACAACGGUCUGUGUUUCAAGUCAAGUGGGCUGUGCCAUGAAUUGUCAGUUUUGCUUCACUGGGAGGAUGGGUUUGAGAAAGCAUUUGUCUACAGCUGAGAUAGUUGAGCAGGCUGUGUUUGCUCGUAAGCUAUUUUCAGAUGAAUUUGGUACUAUUACAAAUGUUGUAUUUAUGGGCAUGGGCGAGCCGUUGCACAAUGUAGAUAACGUAAUAAAAGCAUCAUCUAUAAUGGUUGAUGAGCAGGGUCUUCAGUUUAGUCCUCGCAAGGUUACUGUAUCCACAAGUGGUCUCGUUCCAGAGAUAAAACGCUUCCUCAAUGAAUCCAAUUGCGAUCUGGCCGUGAGUCUUAAUGCAACAACUGAUGAGGUUAGGGAUUGGAUAAUGCCCAUUAACAGAAGGUACAAUCUUAGCACGCUUCUUGGCACUUUAAGGGAGGAACUUCGUUUGAGACCUAAGUCCAUAGUGCUAUUUGAAUACGUCAUGCUUGCUGGAGUGAAUGACAGUGUGGAUGAUGCGAAGAGGCUUACAGAGCUGGUUCGUGGUAUUGCCUGCAAGAUCAACCUCAUCUCUUUCAACCCCCAUAGUGGGUCCCAAUUCAAGCCGACGCCCGAUGAGAAAAUUAUCGAGUUCCGCAACAUGUUAAUCCAGUCCGGCCUUACCGUUAUGGUGCGGCUAAGCAGAGGCGAUGACCAGAUGGCUGCCUGCGGGCAGCUAGGAGCGGCUGGUGACUAUCAGCUACCGCUGCUCCGUGUUCCUGAGAAAUUUCAGGUCGCCUUAUGA
rnacentral:rRNA from 1 species